UUAUCUCCUUUCUGGUAAUGCAGGCACCUUGUUAUGACAUUACCAUUGUGACAAGAUGUUUGAUGAAGCUCUGUGGCUGGUGGGGAGUGGCAGCAAUGAGGCAAAGGACAAGGUGACAAUUCAUUGAGAAAUGCUCCAGAAUGGCCAACAAGUAGUCAGUGUAGGCUCACCUUGAGUCCUGUAGAUCAUUUGGGAGAAUGAGAGAACAGAUCUGGAAGCAAACAGAUGAACUCAAGGCCAACAGGGGCCUAAUCAAGAUACCACAACAUGGAUUACUUUCUCCUUAACCAUUUAACCAUGCUGCUGAGAAGUAAGCCUUGCUCUCUUGUGACAUGAAUAUGCAGCAUAACCUCAUUUACUGAUCGGAAGAUGUGCAUGUAUGAAGGGUUCAUUUUAGAGACAUUUCCCCUAGGAAUGCAAAUGGAGACUUGCUGGAUCACAUUAAAAGCCUACCUAAUCCAGAACACCA